GGUGCCGUAGGCAAACUGGUAAAGCCACAGAACUUUCAAUUCUGCGUUUGCGGGUUCGACUCCCGUCGGCACUG
rnacentral:tRNA from 1 species